CCGCCGGCGACCGGCGCACGGGUGAGUAACACGUAUGCAACCUGGCCGUGACAGAUGGAUAACCGGGAGAAAUCCCGCCUAAUACAGCAUGACGCCGGGAAGGGACAUCCCUUUCCGGCCAAAGGGGGCGACUCCGGUCACGGAUGGGCAUGCGGCGCAUUAGGUAGUCGGCGGGGUAACGGCCCACCGAGGCGACGAUGCGUAGGGGUUCUGAGAGGAAGGUCCCCCACACUGGUACUGAGACACGGACCAGACUCCUACGGAAGGCAGCAG
rnacentral:rRNA from 1 species